rnacentral:rRNA from 1 species
UGGGGAAUAUUGGACAAUGGGGGCAACCCUGAUCCAGCCAUGCCGCGUGAGUGAUGAAGGCCCUAGGGUUGUAAAGCUCUUUUGUGCGGGAAGAUAAUGACGGUACCGCAAGAAUAAGCCCCGGCUAACUUCGUGCCAGCAGCCGCGGUAAUACGAAGGGGGCUAGCGUUGCUCGGAAUCACUGGGCGUAAAGGGUGCGUAGGCGGGUUUCUAAGUCAGAGGUGAAAGCCUGGAGCUCAACNCCAGAACUGCCUUUGAUACUGGAAGUCUUGAGUAUGGCAGAGGUGAGUGGAACUGCGAGUGUAGAGGUGAAAAUUCGUAGAUAUUCGCAAGAACACCAGUGGCGAAGGCGGCUCACUGGGCCAUUACUGACGCUGAGGCACGAAAGCGUGGGAGCAAACAGGAUUAGAUACCCUGGUAGUCCACGCCGUAAACGAUGAAUGCCAGCCGUUAUGGGGUUUUACUCACUAGUGGGCGCAGCUAACGCUUUAAGCAUUCCGCCUGGGGAGUACGGUCGCAAGAUUAAAACUUAAAUG